GGGGGUGUUUUGGUUUUGACAGCAAAUUGAAUCGGAAUGUAAGCAUGUCGGGCGUUGCGCUGGUGGCCCGUAAAUCCCAACACGCAAGCCAUAACUGGCGAAACAAAUGUAGCUCUCGCUGCGUAGUAUGCCAAGCAUACUGCCUUAAUCCUGCCGGCCAAGGUUGCCGGUACGACGAGUAUCCCGCCAAACGAUUCCGCUCUUUAACCGAUUGGCAAAUGGGGUAUCAAUUCUUAAGAGAUAGUUGCGCCGACGUCUCUAACGCGCAAUGAAAAUCAGGAGGCUAAGUACGUCGCGUGGGCGCUUUCGUCCGGCGACGUGUCGAAAACCAAUCGAAAGCUAAACAUGUAGAACACAUUUGGAUGAUUUGUUUGGACGCGAGUUCGACUCUCGCCACCUCCACAA
rnacentral:tmRNA from 1 species